AACUGAGGGAAACUUCUGCUAAUCCCGGAUGAACCGAAUAUUAUGAAUUUAUCGCCGGGAGAUGAGCUCGCGUCUGAUUAGCUAGUUGGAGAGGUUUAGGCUCACUUAGGCAACUAUCGAUAGCUGGGCUGACAGGAUGAUCAACCACACUGGGACUGAAACACGGCCCCGACUCCUACGGGAGGCAGCCACGGGGAAUUUUCCUCAAUGGGCGCAAGCCUGACGGGAUUGGACCGCGUGGGGGAGGAAGGAUCUUGGGUUGUAGACCCCUUUUCUCAAGGAAUAACACAAUGACGGUACUUGAGGAAUAAGCCUCCGCUAACUCCGUGCCAUCAACCACGGUAAUACGGAAGACGCAAGCGUUAUCCGGAAUGAUUGGGCGUAAAGCGUCCUUACGUGGCUGUUCGAGUCUGCUGGCAAACACAGCGGCUUAACUACUGAAAGGCAAUGAAAACUGAACAACUACAGUACUGCAGGGGCAGAUGGAAUUCCCGGUGUAGCGAUGAGAUGCGUAGAUAUCGGGAAGAACACCGGUGGCGAAAGCGCUCUGCUGGGCCGUAACUGACACUGAGGGACUACUGCUAGGGGAGCGAAUGGGAUUAGAUACCGCAGUAGUCCUAGACGUGAACAAUGGAAACUAGGUGUCUACUGUAUCGACACGGGCUGUGC
rnacentral:rRNA from 1 species